rnacentral:rRNA from 1 species
AGCGGGAACAGCCCGGGAUGAAAAUCUCCUCGGAGAAUUGUAUUCCGAGUGUCCCCUGGGUGGUCAGUGCGGGAAAGUUGUCUGGGAUGACACGCCACGGAGGGUGAGAGCCCCGUCCAACCCGCACAGGAUCCAUUCGUACAGGGACGCUUCAACCGAGUCGGGUAGUUUGGGAAUGCUGCUCUAACAUGGUGGUAAAUCUCAUCAAAGGCUAAAUAAAAGUGGGAGACCGAUAGCGAACAAGUACCGUGAGGGAAAGAUGGAAAGUACUUUGAAAAGAGAGUGAAAAGCACUUGAAACCGUCACGGGGGAAGCGAAUUGCGUUAGUGAUGUUUUUGCCUGUUCAGCUUUUUUCUGCCGAGAAAAAUUAUUUUUUUUUCGCAAUAAGUGUAUUCUGGCAAAAACGUGCUUGUGUGGCUGGCGGGAGUGCGAUGAGACGGUGAUUGGCUGUUCCAUUGUCAAUCUUUUCAAAAAUUUUUUGGGAAGUUUGGUUGGAAUGUUGUUCUACCGACCCUCGGCAACUCUUUUUAACGCUGGUGAGGGCUCCCUCAGUAUUCGAGGUGAGGACAUGAGCGAAAUGACGCAAUACGACCCGUCUUGAAACACGGACCAAGGAGUCUAGCACGGCUGCGAGUCGAAAGGUGAUUAAAACCUAUAGGGCGCAGUGAAAGCGAAGAACAAAAAAACAUCAAAGCAAAUUGGGGAGGCGUUGCGGUUUUACCAAAAUGUCCUACCUUGAGCAUCCGUGCUGGGACCCGAAAGAUGGUGAACUAUGCCGGAGUAGGGCAAAGCCAGAGGAAACUCUGGUGGAGGCUCGUAGCGAUGCUGACGUGCAAAUCGCUCGUCGAACUUGGGUAUAGGGGCGAAAGACUAAUCGAACCAUCUAGUAGCUGGUUCCCUCCGAAGUUUCUCUCAGGAUAGCGGGCCGACAAAAAACUCUUUUUGAAUGUUGUUUUGUGUGGUAGAGCGAAUGAUUAGUGCAUUUGGGGGCCGAAGGCCUUCGGGCGAUUCUCAAACUUCAAAUACGCAAGGGGGCCGCUGCUUCACCGUUUGGACAAGGAGGGGGGAUUGGGGGAAAAAAUUUAUUUUUU